UGGGGAAUUUUGGACAAUGGGGGAAACCCUGAUCCAGCAAUGCCGCGUGUGUGAAGAAGGCCUUCGGGUUGUAAAGCACUUUUGUCAGGAACGAAACGGUGUUGGCUAAUACCCGACACUAAUGACGGUACCUGAAGAAUAAGCACCGGCUAACUACGUGCCAGCAGCCGCGGUAAUACGUAGGGUGCAAGCGUUAAUCGGAAUUACUGGGCGUAAAGCGUGCGCAGGCGGUUGUGUAAGUCUGAUGUGAAAUCCCCGGGCUCAACCUGGGAAUUGCAUUGGAGACUGCAUAGCUAGAAUCUGGCAGAGGGGGGUAGAAUUCCACGUGUAGCAGUGAAAUGCGUAGAGAUGUGGAGGAACACCGAUGGCGAAGGCAGCCCCCUGGGCUAAGAUUGACGCUCAUGCACGAAAGCGUGGGGAGCAAACAGG
rnacentral:rRNA from 1 species